UGGCUCAGAACGAACGCUGGCGGCGUGCCUAACACAUGCAAGUCGAACGUGAAUGGGAGCAAUCCCUAGUAAAGUGGCGUACGGGUGAGUAACACGUAGGUAAUCUACCCCAAAGUCUGGAAUAACCUGCCGAAAGGCGGGCUAAUACUGGAUAGAGCGACGGAAUCCGUAAUUGGGUUUUUCGGGAAAGGGAGGAAGCAAUUCCCUUCGCUUUGGGAUGAGCCUGCGUCUCAUUAGCUAGUUGGUGGGGUAACGGCCUACCAAGGCUACGGGGAGUAGCCGGCCUGAGAGGGCGACCGGCCACACUGGGACUGUAUCUCGGCCCAGACGAGUACGGGAGGCA
rnacentral:rRNA from 1 species